rnacentral:rRNA from 1 species
UACGUAGGGUGCAAGCGUUGUCCGGAAUUAUUGGGCGUAAAGAGCUCGUAGGCGGUUUGUCGCGUCUGCCGUGAAAGUCCGGGGCUCAACUCCGGAUCUGCGGUGGGUACGGGCAGACUAGAGUGAUGUAGGGGAGACUGGAAUUCCUGGUGUAGCGGUGAAAUGCGCAGAUAUCAGGAGGAACACCUAUUGCGAAGGCAGCUCGCUGGGACGUAACUGACGCCUGAGACGCGAAAGCGUGGGGAGCAAACAGG